UUGAACGCUGGCGGCAUGCUUUACACCUGCCAGUCGCACGGCAGCGCGGGCUUCGGCCCGGCGGCGAGUGGCGAACGGGUGAGUAAUGCAUCGGAACGUGCCCAGUAGUGGGGGAUAGCCCGGCGAAAGCCGGAUUAAUACCGCAUACGACCUGAGGGUGAAAGCGGGGGACCGAAAGGCCUCGCGCUAUUGGAGCGGCCGAUGUCGGAUUAGCUAGUUGGUGGGGUAAAGGCUUACCAAGGCGACGAUCCGUAGCUGGUCUGAGAGGACGACCAGCCACACUGGGACUGAGACACGGCCCAGACUCCUACGGGAGGCAGCAGUGGGGAAUUUUGGACAAUGGGGGCAACCCUGAUCCAGCCAUGCCGCGUGCGGGAAGAAGGCCUUCGGGUUGUAAACCGCUUUUGUUCGGGAAGAAAUCCUCUGGGCUAAUACCCCGGGGGGAUGACGGUACCGGAAGAAUAAGCACCGGCUAACUACGUG
rnacentral:rRNA from 1 species